rnacentral:lncRNA from 1 species
GUUGCCUGUCACCUUCCCCGCAGAUGCCACCGGUCAGGACGGUUGGGGCAAAAGCAGCCAGCAGGGGUUCCAUGAGCCCUGCCCUGUCUGCCGAGCACCCUGGUGCCCACCAGGUCCCGGCCCGGGGUUCUACUACUCCCUGGUGGCCCCCGUGGCAGAGCUGGGGGAGCCUUGUUGAGGAGGGGCCAGCUGGGGCCUCUGGAAAGUCGCCGGACAACCAAAAAGAUACAUCAAAGCAACACAGACCUCGGGUGUCUGCACAGUGGACGACGGUGGAUUAAAUUAAUGCUGUGGCAUGGGACAGCACACAUGACAGAGGAGAGGCCAGGAGUGUCCUUCCGCGUGUCUGUGCAUCUGUCCAUAGAGGCAUCCUCCGUGGGGGUCGGUGGCUCUCAGCACUGGGCCAGUGUCGCCUUCAUCUCUUCCAGCAGGUUGCUCAGCAGGGUGGAGUCGCUGCCCUUCCCAUCCACGGACACCGAGUGCUCGCCCUUCUUCACCAGCAGGCAGACGUGGUGGCCCUGGAUGGAGCGGCUGUACAUGGAGGCGCAGGAGUCCACUCGCUCCACCAUAGAAAAGUGGUGGUGAAAACAUAUCUUUGCCAGAAGGUUCUGGAAGGACAUACUGAUGCCAUCGACUCUGACUGAGCUCAUGCUCAGGUCCCCAGACCCCAGCAGCUUGGCAAAGGCAUCACUGUAGCAGGUUCUGUGUCUUACCCUGGCAGUUCUGUGGGUCUCACAGUCAUGCAGCCUGAAGGGUGAAGUGGAGCAUCUUCCAUAUUUUAAGAACCGUAUAUAUUUCCUUCUUUGUGGACUAUUAAUAUCUUUUGAUGAUGUCAGGGUUUGCAACGGAAUAGAUUUAAUACAGGACACAUAAUUUAUAGGAUUAUUUUAUAAUAUUUACCCAAAAAGUCAAAUGCAGAAGAGCGCAAGAGAUCUGUCCACAUGCUAGAGACCUGAAGAAUCCAGCAGAGGGCCUGGAUCCUGUAAUGUCCUCCACAAGUCCCUCUGGAGGCCCUGAGCCCGCAGCAGUCUCAUGCAAGUCUGUAUCAAGGACCUGCACCGGAAGGUCCAAAGGCCGGUGGUGGAAGCUAGAAAGUCUGCACUGGCAGCGUGAAGGAUCUGCACUGGAGCCAGGAAGCGAGGCUCGAGGCAAAGAUCAGAGCUCCCUUGAAGAGAAGAAGCAAAGACCUGAGCUCCUCUAACAAGAACAGCUGAGUUCUUAUCAGGGAAACCAGCUAUGGCAAGCUUCUUCAGGAAAAUCAGCAGCAUACAAUCUUCCCUUCCAGUUCUCCUUUCAUGCCAUUGGGAACAAUCCUCAGGUGGGUCUUCAAUGCCCAGAACCAUGCUGACUCAGUUCAGCUGGGCGUUCCCACUUAAACAGACCAUUAGUUAAUCCAUCACAGCCUUCAUCCAUCUUCCUGUUGGGUUAGUCUAUAUUUACAGAACCGAAAGUAUUAAAUACAUUUUAAAUGACUUCUGACAUGAUGUCUUACUUAGAAAGGCCCACCUUUCUAAAAUACAAUAAUGCAAUCCUCCCUG